GCCGCCGUCUGUCCGCUGCGGGGCCGUCCUGCCGCGGCGGGCAGGGCAGGACUCGGCGGGCUUGGCUGGAGAGCCAGGCGGCUCAAGGACAGAGACACCUUCAAACGGCGGGGUUACACCUCUGUGCGCAGAGGGACGCGACACUGCGAUGGCACCGCCGGCAGAACUGUUACUCCAGCCUUUCCCCGUCUCUCAGACUUCGUUUGGUUUAGGCAGUGAAUUAUUUCACGUCCCGAGCAGCAGCCAUCACGGCCCUGAUUCAAUUUGCAGCCCAGCUAUAAAGACACCAUUGCCAACACAGAGUACUCCUACACAGAAGCUUGGAAGAACAAGAUUAUUUAGAUGAAUCUGCAUUUCUCAAUAUAUCUCUUCCCUAUAAAAUCUCACCAGCACCAAGAGCAAAGAAGGGAAGGAGUAAUCAUUCUGUUGUAGCCACCCUUGCCAGUGCUACUGUUACUAUAGAACAAGACUACAACAACCCCCUUUGUCC